AGUGCAACUUAUUUAUUUGUGACUGUUGGUGUUUUGGCAAAGUUGUUCAAUGUUGAUGUUUAAUAACUAUAGUAGAUAGUGUGUGUUUUCUUCACUUAUUUUUAUAUCAAGUGCUGCAUAUUUACUGUACAAAACCUCUCAGUAAACUAUAAGGGGCAAAUAAUAACAUAAAUUGAUUAAAUAAAACAAUUGUUUAUUAAUCAUAAUCAAAUUACAAUUAAUCGAGAUUUUAAUUUUAGGCCAAAUCGCCCAGCCAUACAAUGUGACUACAGACUCCCACAUUGCGAUAUCAAUUCUGAAACUAUAUAUUGUGCUGCCCUAAGACCCAUUAUACUUUAUAAUGCUUAAGAAAGAAAUCUAAUGAUUGAAACAAUCGUUUACGGUAAAUGAUAAUAAACAAUAAAUCAAUGUAGACUACUUUGUAUAUGCACUAUUUUUGCUUAUGUCACUAUCAAGAUAAUAUCAAAUAGCAUAAUAAAAGCCUCCGUAAUCAUCGUUAAAAAGAAAGUUUGCUACCAUCACAUGCCUAGCCACAUUUUUUUUUAAACUCGUCUUGAUUCAAGUGCAGUGUGUUUUUUUUCUCUUUAAUAGUCUACAUGUGAUUGACUUGGUCAGCAUUGAUAUAUUUGAUUAAUUUAGCACUGCAGGAUAUUUGAGGACAAGCUGUAUGAGUAUAACUCUUGUCAAAUUGUACUCUGGCUGUUCCUCAUUUCUUUAGCUUCUUAUCUCUCUCUCUCUCUGUGUGUGUGUGUGUGUGUGUGUGUGUGUGUACAUGCUCUCGCCUGCCGUAUCCAUGCAGUGUCUAUAUAUUUUGGGCACAUUCAUGGAAACAUGUGAGAGAUAAGUGCAGCUUUUCCUGGAUGUGUUGAAGUGGCAGACUCGCACCUUCCCUUUAGUGAACGGCCACCAUAGGAGACCCGUGGGUCAAAAACGGGGGGACGUCUGGCACACACCUUCGCCUCUUUAUAUAUUAGCACAUCUCAUUGGUUUUAAGUAGGCCCAGGGAUUUUCUGCAUGGCUUAUCAGCGAAGGUUUAUUGCACCAUAAGGUUUCCAGACACUCAAACAUUUAAGCUGGCCUAGGAGCUCUUAAGUCUACAAGGACGUUGUUGAUCCUCGUAUGUGUCCAGCGGUUUGAAAAAGCUGUUUGUUCACUCGGCCAGCUGCGGGGGGACGAAAACAUGGUCUGCUCUGACUGGGAGGAGGGAUUUGUGGGUCGUAUGGUCUUAUUUGAAAACAGUGUCAGCACUGCUGCUUUUACACCAAAAGCCUGUUGCUAGGCGACUGCUGACGUCAGUAGAGGCUACAGAGGAAGGUCUGUGUGUUGAGCUGCUCACUGAAAGAGGGCAAAACUAGCAAACGCACUGACUGCACAAAGCCCAACUCCUGGAAGAGCUUGACUAAAUAUUACAAACAUUUCUUUUUUAUGCAAAGUUUUUGCUGUGAAAAUGUAAUGCUCAUGAAAUGUGGUCCUUCUAGCGCACCCCCCUCCCCCCCGGGUCUGUUUUCAGCUUUGGCUUUGAUGACGUCAGUCGCGUUUCGAGGAGGGGAAAAGUCAAUCAUUAGUGUCAGAAGAAGAGCCCCGAGCCGAGUCGAGCAGCCAUUCUCAAUUCUCUGCACUUUGUUUAUGCUAGUCAGGAAGUCCUUCUUUUAAACAGGUCAAACGGUUAAAGGCAGAUGUUUUCAAAGGUUUUUUAGUGUUUUUUUUUUUUGCAAGAUUUUUAGGGAGGUUUUUAAGUGUAAUUAGGGUUUUACAGUUUUGUUUUAUUUCUGUGAAAACUGAAAUUAAAUAAACUAUCCUGGGGCAGAAAUUUUAUAUAAACUUAACAUAAAAGUGUAUGAAGUGCAGGUUUUGUUAGCAAAUAGAAUUUAUAAACAUGUAUCAUGUAGCAUAUUAAAAAAAUAUGCAAUGAUACAGUUUUCCCUAUAGAUCAGUAAAAAUUCUACAUAAUUUGGCUGCACAAUAUUGGAAAAAAUGACCUUUUGAUGUUUUGUUUUUCUGCAAUUUUUUUAAUUUAUUUUUAAUUUUUGUAUGUUAUUAGGCCUAAAUUGACAUUCAGAACCUGUAAUCAAUCUAUUUUUUUCAAUUACUUUCCCUACCAUCAGAAAAGCAUGUUUUCAUUGCAAUAAAACUAUUAUUUACAUUAAAAUAUUUGUUUACAUAAAGUUCAAUAAAUGCUCUGUUAAAUAUUAUUUACAGGAUAUACAAGAUGUAUUUUAUUUAGAAGAGAUUCUGCUUAUUUUCUACUUUUAAUAUGAAAAACAUAAUAAUAAUUAAUUUUGUUUACUGUUUGUUUUAGGCAGUGUGUGUUUUAAUUCCAGUUCUUCAACGGUGAAGUAAAUAAUCAUAGAUAGCAGGUAGUGUGUAUUAUCUUGAAUUAUUUUAAAAUCAAGUUAAGCACCCUUCAUUCAUAAAUCUCUCACUUGUGAUAUGUGAGCAUAUUUACUGUACAAAACCUAUCUGUGAACUAUGAAUGCAAAGAAAUGUAAUAAAUAAAUCAAAUAAUCGUUCAUUAAUCGUAAUCCAGUUCAAAUGUUCAAUUAAUCGAGAUUUCUUUUUUUUAGGACAAAUCGCUCAGUCCUAAUUGUGAUCUGCAAGUAAUUUUACAAGAUGACUCUAUUUGGAAAGAAUUCCUAAUAUUUUUAUAUUGAUUGGAAUGAUUUGUAAUCGAAUGCAUCUGCAUAAAAUACAUGAAUUUAUGCCAAAAAGAAAGAAAGAAAAUGAAUUAAAGCGCAGAUAAAAAAUUAAAUGAACAAUACUUAGUUUUUGGUUGGACUUUACCAGUUUUGAGAUAUAGAGAUUGAAUACUCAAACGUAAAACAACAUUGAAUAGUCUUUAUACUAUUGUAUUAAAAGAUUAAAGACAAUUAAACUUCAUUAAAGUGGCAAACUUUUUAAGUUCUUGUGCCCAAAUGGCUAGAAUUCUCUUAAAAUCUUACAGUCACAAGCCUUUAAAAAAAAACACAUCCAAAUAAAAGUCUCUCAUCUUAUUAAAUUUGAGUUAAUCCUUGCAACAAUUCCGCAAAGCAUAUGUUCUGAACUGUUUUCUGGUUAUUUAUAAUCCCAAUUUGACAUUGCAGAUCCGGCAAUGUUACUUGCAGAUUUGCACAUAGCCAUAUCAAUGCUGAAACAAUAUAUUGUGCAGCCCUACUAAAUAUUAAUAAUAAUAACAAUUAUUAUUAUUAUUAUAUAAAAAUUAUUGCAAUUGUAAUAGCUGUUUUAAAAUUAAUUGAAUUUAUAAUUGACAUAUAAUUUUCUUUAUUGUCUUUCUUGACGUUCAUAGGGCUAAAAAUGGAAAAAAAGGAUAAAACCAUAUGAAAAUAUGUAUAAUUUUUAAAUCAACAUUUUACAUUUUCUUCUUAGUGAAAAUAUACAUUUGAAUGACUUUAACCUGUAUGCUUUUAUCUUAUUAAUCAGUUUAAAAUUUUUAAUUCAUUUUAAUGUUAUUUUUUGUUUAAUUUAGGUUCUUUUAGGUCCAUCCACAUAUUUACAUUCGCUUUGAUUCAGAGCUGUGAUUCGUCCAAGAAUAAUAUUAUAAUAGAACAAAUUAUAAUAACAAUAGCUAUAUAAACUAAUGCAUUUAAUAUUGGUUUUUCUUUAACAUUACUUAAACUACUAUUAAUUGUCAUUCAAGAUGUUUCUUUCAGCUCUGUUCGCAUAGUUACACAUUGACAUUCUUACUGGUACAGGACUAUGAUUUCCUCUAAGUUAUAGAUGGCAAUAGAAAAACAACAUCGUAAACAUAAGUAAUGAGGCAUAAAAGUACUGUCUGUUAAAUCCUGAGAGGGCUGUGUGUGUUUCUUUUGGGUUUUGUGUACUUGCUCGUGUGUGUGUGUGUGUGUGUGUGUGUGUGUGUGUGUGUGUGUGUGUGUGUUAUGAAUGACGUGAGCUGUCAUGAGAGAUAAGAAGGCCACUCAAGCAUGUGGCUUAAUGAAGAGUGUGAUAGGCGUCUGUGCCAAUCACGUGGCCAUUAGCACACAAGACUGGUUACUUUAGUGAGCUCCUGCGCGAGAUUAAAUCAGAAUCGCGGCCCACCCAAACCGCCACAUAUGACGCACACACUGUUCCCCACCAGGUUAAUGAAUAAAGGCCUCUAAGAAACAGACAAGUGAGCUUUGAUUGUUGAUUGCACUUUUUCACUUAAAAGACGUCAGAGAGAAAUAUAACGGUGCUUGAAGUGAGAUCGGAGGAACUGCAUAUUCAAAUGACAUAUUAUAAUAUAUAUAUAUAUGCAAGAUAUUUAAAUGUUAAAUCGAUUUAAAUUGUGGUAUGUCAUAUUACAUGCAGAAAAGGGUCAAAUUGCAUUUACUAGGAUGUUGUUUAUAAAUGUACUUGUUUAUAUAUGUACUGUAAUAUUUCUGUGUAGUGUUAUGUAAAGUUGUUGACACUUUAUUGGUAAGGAAACAUGUGUGAGUGAGAAAAUAAAACGCAUGAUUCUAGAAAAAAAUGA